rnacentral:rRNA from 1 species
AUUGAACGCUGGCGGCAGGCCUAACACAUGCAAGUCGAACGAGUGGCGGACGGGUGAGUAAUGGCUGGGAACCUGCCUGAUGGAGGGGGCUAACUCCUGGAAACGGUAGCUCCUACCGCCAACCAUCGCAUGUUUCCUGAUGGGUUUAUCUAGUAGGUGGGGUAAAGGCUAACCUAGGUGACGAUCCUUCCCUGGUCUGAGAGGAUGACCAGCCACACUGGAACGGAGACACGGUCCAGACUCCUACGGUAGGCAGCAGUGGGGAAUAUUGCACAAUGGGCGCAAGCCUGAUGCAGCCACGCCGCGUGUAUGAAGAAGGCCUUCGGGUUGUAAAGUACUUGCAGCGGGGAGGCGUUACCCGCAGAAGAAGCACCGGCUAACUCCGUGCCAGCCGCCGCGGUAAUAC